rnacentral:rRNA from 1 species
UACGUAGGCAGCGAGCGUUGUUCGGAGUUACUGGGCGUAAAGAGUGCGUAGGCGGUUCCGUAAGUCUGGUGUGAAAUCUCCUGGCUCAACUAGGAGGGUGCGCCGGAAACUGCGGAGCUUGAGCACGGGAGAGGAAAGCGGAAUUCCUGGUGUAGCGGUGAAAUGCGUAGAUAUCAGGAGGAACACCGGUGGUGUAGACGGCUUUCUGGACCGUUGCUGACGCUGAGGCACGAAAGCGUGGGGAGCAAACAGGAUUAGAUACCCGCGUA